rnacentral:piRNA from 1 species
UAGGUACGUACAGCACUGGAUGGAGAGA